UAGGGAAUCUUCCACAAUGGGCGCAAGCCUGAUGGAGCAACGCCGCGUGUGUGAUGAAGGCUUUCGGGUCGUAAAGCACUGUUGUAUGGGAAGAAUAGUUAAUGUAGGAAAUGAUGUUAAUGUGACGGUACCAUACCAGAAAGGGACGGCUAAAUACGUGCCAGCAGCCGCGGUAAUACGUAUGUCCCGAGCGUUAUCCGGAUUUAUUGGGCGUAAAGCGAGCGCAGACGGUUCGUUAAGUCUGAAGUGAAAGCCCACAGCUCAACUGUGGAAUGGCUUUGGAAACUGGCGAACUUGAGUGCAGUAGAGGCAAGUGGAACUCCAUGUGUAGCGGUGGAAUGCGUAGAUAUAUGGAAGAACACCAGUGGCGAAGGCGGCUUGCUGGACUGUAACUGACGUUGAGGCUCGAAAGUGUGGGUAGCAAACAGG
rnacentral:rRNA from 1 species